AUGAUGUUGGGCUACUGCCACAAACUUGUUCAUGUUCUUUACUGUCCUGAAACAAUCUAACAAUUAUUCAACUGUGAUUACUUAUAUGUAAUAGAAAUUACUUACUAGGUAUAUCAAAAGGGCAAUAUGCCAAUUAAUUAGUCUUAUUGCCAUAUAACCGAAAAGAGCAGAUUCCUCCAGGGAAGAAAACGCGCCAAAGGGGGAGAUAAUGCCCUUAAAAAAAAUCUGCCGUACCGAUGACAAAAAAUAAUGUCAUUUUUUUACCAGGCAAUAAGUAUGCUUCAAAUUGGUGUACACAAAUAAUCAUCUUCUGUUAGAUUAGCAAAAGCUGCAGAGUCACUAC
rnacentral:lncRNA from 1 species